UGUUCACAGACACAUAAGUGUCCAUCAUAUUGUCUGUUUUGGGUUUUCCAUAAAUUUAUAUAAAGUAAACCAAUAAUUUGAAGAUUAAAAAAAAAUAAGACCAUAUUAUGUAGCAUUCACUAAGAAACCUUUACUGUAAAAAACUAUUAAUGAGAUCCUAGCAAUGCUGAAGCAAUUCUCUUUCAAGUUUAGAAAUUCCCAUGAACUUGGGUCAUUUCCUUUGCCUAUUUAUUUCUUUGGGUCCAGUUCAGUUCUCAGGAAAAACAAACAUCUCAAAUAACUGACUGAAGGUACUUGAAAGUUUCUCCCUAUUUAUAGUUGGACAUUUAUUCUAAACUGUUUUUAAAGUUUCUUCAUAUUUGGAAUGCAAAGCAUUUUUUUUACCUGAAAAAGAGUGAAAGACUAUAAUGUCCAUUUGAUUUGAUGAUUUUACAAUGCAUGGAAAACAUUCAUCCAUCUAUGGAAGAAGUUUGUUCUGUUUUAUUUUGUUCCACAUCAAGAAGUGUUCCAUAUCACAUGAAGUGUAGUGUCUUUGAUAUUUUGGAGUUCUAUACAUUGAGAAAGAUCAGAUUGCUUAUUCUGUUUUAUCUUUAAAUUAGAGACCUUCUGGCCAGCAUAAUCUUUUCUUUUUAAUAUGAGAAGAUUGUGUAUUGAUAGAUGUUACAAUUUUGAUUUUAUAGGAUUGUACUUAUUUCUAUAGCACUGCAUAUGUUCAUGGGAUGCACCUGUUCAUAUUCAAGUAACACCCUAUAUGUAAUUCAGGCUCGAUUUAACUGUCAGUUACUAGGUAAGUAACAUUUGUGCAUCCUUAUUUGAGCAACUCUAAAAUUGGCCAUAAAUUUAUUUGUUAUUUAGUGUAUAUCUGUGGUGAUUAUCCUGGGUACUGUUCAAAUAAUUCCAUCUUAUUACAGUUUCCCAAAAGUUAUUAAAAGUUACAGUGGAGAAACAUCUUGAUUGGAAAUCAUGCCAUUAAAGAAUAUUUUAUUUAAAAUUUAUCUAAAAUUAAUUUUUAUUAUUUCCCUUUUUAAACUUGUAUAGUUACUUGCUAGACUUUCAAUUAAAGUAAAUUAUCAUUGUUUCAUAAUUGAGUUUUUCUAUUUUUAUAAACCUUAAUUUUUACAAGCUUGAUUUUUACAAGCUCCUCUUCCAUGGAGAGGUUUAGGAAGUUUAUAUUUUCUUUGUUUAUAUUGGAUACCAGCUGAAAUAUUUACUCUGUCAUGGGUUUCCUAAUAGAGAAUUAUUUUUUUUUAGUUGAAAAAAAUCACUGGAGAAAAGUUGAACUAUUUUUUUCCUCAAAAAAAAAAUAUUCCCCUGACAGAUUGUAGUAAAAGCAUGAGUUUUUUCUUUACCUUUGCUUCUGGAUAGAGAGGUUUAUGCUUUCUCUCUUCCCUGUAAUUGAGGCAUAUCUUGAGAGGGAAUAUUUAUAUUCAUAAAAAUAAAUGUAGUUUCCUAUAAUAUCAAGCUUGUUUUAAUAUUUAAAAUAUUAAACAUUUUCCUUUAAAGAAAUUUAAAAUCUUUUAAACACCAUUUCUCAUCUUUUAGUAGGGAAGAAAGCAAUGUCUAACCCCCUUUGUUAACUUUCUGUAUUUUCUGUGUUACAGCAUAAUUUUAUUUUGUAAUACUCAUUUUCAGUAUCAUCCAUGCUUAAUUUUCAGAAAUAUGGAUUGGUCUUCUGCUUUUGGGAAGAAUUCCCAUGAGAGGUGGGAAAUCAAAAUUUCUGAUCCUCAGAAUGUUAUGGCAAUGAUCCAAAAUUAAGCCAUAUUUCCCUAUGAGAGUUUGAGGAAUUUUUUGUCAUUGUGCAUUUCUCAAAAGCCACUAGCUGUGGAAUAUUAUGGUUACCCUGAGACAUGCAAUUUAUUUCCUUUCAAGUUUUAUAUCCCUUCCUCAACCUUUUUUAUUUUGUUAGGUGAAAUAGUUGGUUAUGGGAGCAAUUAAAGUUUUUUUUUUCUUCUCUCUGUAGGGAUAUAUCGAUGUGAUGCAGUGUAGAGCUAGAUGCAAUGCUACAAAGCUAAGGGAUGUACUUGUUAACCUACACCAUUCAGGUUCAUCUCCUGCUUUCUCAAGUUCAUAGGCAAUCUAGUCAAUAUGUCUUAGCAUAUCCUCAGAUAUUAUAAACCCUUCCCCCUAAAAUAAUAAUUUAGAAUUCUUAUCCUUCUUGAUCUCCUCCUUCCCCACAUUUUUCUUAUGAUCAUACUUCCCACUUCAGUUAGUCUUUCAAAUUCUCAAGAGUUCACUACUAAUUGCUCCAUGAUAUAUUAGUAUCAGAGAGCAUAAAAAAUACAGCCAGUUGUUGUUGCAGCUAGGUUGAUUUACUUCCCUCCUACUGCUAGUCAGAGAGAGACGGAAAAGCAAGACAUAAAAUGAGCAGAAAUUUCCCCCAUUUCAGCUUUCUAAGGGAGGCUAGGAGAGAAAGAUUAUGGAAUAUAAUCCACUUGCUCUCACUAGCUGAAUUUACCAACUAGUUUAAAACAUGGCAGAUGACAUGGUUGGAUCUGAUUUAUUUUAGGAAAAUCAUUUUACUCAUUAGUAGUAGGUUGGGGAGAGAUGAGGCAGACCCACUAUCAAGCUGUUAUACUAAUCCAAGCCUGUAGAGGUCAUUACUCUAUACAAGAUCAUGACUGUGAUUUCUCACAUGAACCAAUUAGCUUCUUUGUGUUCCAUGAAGAACGGUGUUUAUAAUUAGUCUCUUGCUGUGGGUUUGUUCUGACUCAGACUGGCCCCAUGGUAGUUUGGUUACAAUAAUGAAAUAAAAUGAGACAUUUACAUAUUGUUUGACAAAGUUUUACUUAUCCUUUAACCUAUUUAACUUUUAUUCUAAUAAAUCUUACAUAAAAAUAGCUGAUAACUUAAAUAGUUUUGUGAAGUAUUCUAUAGUUUUAUGAUUCUUGAUGGUUUUGGUAAGUAUAUAUUUUUUCUCAUUUGAUCAUCACAGAAAGCUGGUAAAAUAAAUUAAUGCAAAUAUAGGAUAAUGCUAUGAUCAUUCAGUAAAUAAUAAAAGAAAAUAUUUACCUGUAGGUAAAAAAUAAAGAUAUUCAAUAAGGAUGCCCAUUUUAUAAAUGAAGCUAACCAUGGUUCAAAAAAGUUAAGUGAGUUUCCUUUAGGCUUAACUAGUAAAUGUCAGAAUUAAAAUCUGAACCCUAGUCUCUUCUAACUCCAGGCAUCUUCUGCUACAUAGCACUGCAUGAUUUAAGUUUUUUUCAUAACUGAUGGAUCUAUGAUUUCAUCAUGUAUCACUAUAAUACAACUAAAUAUCCAUAAAUAUAAAUGACAACUCCAUAUAUCAUCUUGCACAAAUUCUUCAGAGAAGUUGCUGAACACAAAAGAAAUUUCACUUUAUUGUUACAGUAUUUUUUUUAAUAAUUAUAAUUUUUUGUUGACAGAGUUGUUAUAGUAUUUCAAUGUGGCCACCAAAGCUUGUACCAGCUCUCUGUUGUUUUUUCCAGCUACCUCUACUUUCCUAAUCAUAUCUUUUAUGGAUUCUUUUGUGAAAUUUUUCAUGAAAUAACUUUUCUAAAUACUGUCUACGGCACCACAAUCCUAAUCACUCAAACUAGGUAUCAUCCUUGACUCUUCACUUCAUCUCAUUCAUUUGCCAAUUCCUAUUGAUUGUACCUUUCCUCUCAUAACACUGUCAUAACCUCAUCACCUCAUACCUAGACUACUACAAUAAUCUUCAUGCUGAUCUCCCUGCCUCAUAUUUCUUCCCACUUAAAUCCAUAUUUUACUGAGCUGUUAAAUUGAUUUUCCUAAAGUUCAAGUCUAACCAUGUUAUCCUUCUAGUCAAUAAAUUCCUGGGCAUACGUGAUAACGUCCAGCUUCAAAUAUAAAAUCUUCUGUUUGGUUUUCAAAGUCCUUCAAAACCUAAUCCCUCUAUCUCUCAACUUUCCAGUUUUGUUAAAUCUCACAUUCUUUGCUAUCUGGCUUCCUUGCUAUUCCUCCUUGCAAAUCACUCCAUUUCCCAGUUCCUUGCAUUUUCAUCAGCUAUUCCCCUAUUCCUAGAAUUAAUCUUCUUUUCCUGACUUUCUUGACUUCAUUCAGAUCCCAGCUAAAAAUCCCACCUUCUGCAAUCUAAUUUAGUUUUUAGCUAAAUAUUACACACUUAGCAUAGUGCUGGGCACAUAUUUGUUGCUUUGUUAUUGCAUGUUGAUUUGACAUGUUAUUAGGAAUAUUUUUAUCAUCUGUGUGUUUACACCAUCUUUUCAUGGCUUUUUUUUUAAGUGUCAAGUAAUAACUUUGAAUAUGCAGCUAACUAAUAGCAUAUUCAAAAAAAGAUUUGAUAAGCACCUCUGUAAUAUGUUACAGAAUGCUGCAACCCCUUCGAACAAAAUGAGGAAUUUAGCCCAACAUAAUUAUUUGUAGUCAAAAUUAGGACUGGAUGAAUGUUCUUAAUUGGACAUCAGGCCAGAUGACUGAUAGUUUAGAUUUGAUAUGAAACACUUCAUAGAUCAUUCAGUAAUUAUUUAAAAAUUUACUUAGAGAGCAGGAGGAGAAUAAUUUAGUUGAGUAAAUUUUACCCAUCAUGAUCCACUAGGCAAAAAUCUGAGUGUACCAGGAACCUUGUGACUGUUUUGUAUUUAGGUGAGUGGAAAGUGCUAUCAACAACCUAUGCCAAACAAUCCUUACCUUUUAAGAAAAACAAUACCUAUUAAGGAAAAACUAGUUUUACUUGCAUGGGGAUGAGAAUUAGAGUAUCGCUCCCAUCAUAUUAUACUCCUGAAGGUCUUCCAGAGUAGUGGUGACAGACUCAAAUAGAAAUAGGAUCCCUAAAGUAUACAUAAGGAUCACUUCGGAACCCAUAUUGACUUUAGGAAAUUACAUGAUGACAUUUUAGAGUAUAUUUAUUUUGUUAGAUUUUCCCUAAAAACAGCUUUUGAUUUUUAUUUUGUUUUGUUUUUUAACAAUAGCUUUUUAUUUUCAAAAUACAUGCAAAAUAUAUUCAACAUUCACCCUUGCAAAACCUUGUGUUCCACAUUUUUUCCUCCUCCCUAUUCCCUUCCCCUAAACAGCAACUAAUAUAUGUUAAACAUGUGUAAUUCUUCUAUACAUUUACCAUGUUGCAAAAAAAAAAAAAAAAAGAUUAAAAAGGGAAAAAUGAGAAAGAGAAAAAAGCAAGCAAAACAACAAAAAAGGUGAAAAUGCUAUAUUGUGAUCUACAUUCAGUCACUAUAGUCCUCUUUAUGGAUGCAGACUCCAUCACAAGUCUCCCAAUUACAUUUUAAUGUGGUUCUGGCCUUAUAUUUGAUACUUCUAUUUUAAAGAACUGCUUAAAUGAGCUUAGGGUGACCUUCAAUAGGCAGCAUCAAAGAAGGAAAACCAAAGGCCAACUAAAAUAGAAUAAACAACAUAACUCCCUGAAGGAAUCUAGGAGAGUCCCAGGAAAGUCCAGGUCUAAAAGAUUAUCCAUAUGAUGAGUGAUACCAAAAGAUUGCAACUGACAAUGAAUCUCAAUUUUAAAAGGUGACAAUAAAUGAAAGCAACAUCAGGAAUAUCAGGGAUGCAGCAAAAAUGAUUACAGUUGUCAUUAUGGAUCAGGAAGAAUUGCCCUAUACUACUAAAGAUUCCUUCACCUCCAUCUUUCCGGUAGGGAAGUGGGACAGGGAGGUGGGGGCUAGAAGAGUAAAAAAAAAAAAAUUUAAAGGAGAAAUACAUCCUAUGAAAAGCCUCUGAAGAAUUUCCCAAUUUAACCUCCCCCUUAUUUUCAGACAAAUAUUGAAGGGGGGGUUUAGUUACAAGUUUAAUUUGUCAAUCUCUUCGUUUUAUUGAAGAAAAUCUUUGAGAUGUAAAAUACUUAAUUUGGCUAUAUGCCCACAAUUUAAUGUCAUCUUAUUGUUGUUCCUUCUCCACAGUCCCUUGGUUCUCUAGGUUUUCCUUGCAGAGGAAUUGUGUGCAAAUGAUCAUUAGGGGAAGUUUUAGAAGCAAUGCAGAGGAACUAGUCAGGUCUAGAUUAUAGUAAGCAAUUAUGCUUACCUUCUCUGCCUGUUAUCUUUUGCUGUCAGUUACUACUGGGGCCUGCAUGUCUGUCCACUGCCCAUAUUUAUGCCUACUGCCCCUGUUGACACUAAAGCCUACAUGCUUCCUCCUGCUAACAACACAAAUCCAAGUACCUGGAUUCUAUCAAAUAUUCUAAAAACAAUUCCAUUAUUCUAUAAGUAGUUGAAAACAGGGAAAACAGUUUAACAGCAAUCUAAGAACAUUCAACUAAAUGGGAAUUUGAAGGAGAAACUACAAAUUUUUCCAGCUUAAUAUCACAAAUUUGAUCUUCAGUUUAGUGACCAGGACAGAAACUGUAUUUGAUAAGGGUAGUAUAGAAUCAAAGAUUCAGUGUUUGGAACUAAAGCAACAGUGUAGGUUGCUGACAGCAGACCCCUGGCCCAUCACCAAGGGAUCAAAUUAGAAGCAAGAAUUCAGUAUGCAUUAUUCAUUAUGCUCACAGCCUGUGGCCAAGAUCAUCAGCUCAGCCAGAUCUGGAGAUCUGGAGGAGCUUCUCAACUGACUAGGCUCCCAGAACUCAGUCCUGAGGCAGAAGUCUGAGAUUCUGGAAACUGAUCAGUUCCAUCCUAGCUUAAAGAAACAACGAGGAAUCUCCCAGAGAAGGCAGGAGCUGAAUUUAAGCACUAAGAGCUUUGAGCUAGAUUUGUAGCAUAAGGAGGCCUAAAAAUAAUCAAGUUCAGCCUCUAGUCAAGGACAAUAACUCAGGCCUGGAGCACUUUAUAUUCAGGACCUAGAAUCUCUAACCUAGAGUCCUCCACCUAAGAAAUCAGGGUCAGGAUCAUCAUCCAGACAAUCCAGAAUCACAGAAAGCCUAGAAAGAGUUCCUAUUAGGAAGCCAGUGAUGCCAUGUUGUCUAGAUCAGAACUACAACUUUUUUCCACUUGCAACCUCUUUUUGCUUAAGUUUUAUAUGAACUGAAGUAUACAGGUAUGUACAAUAAGUACACAAAUCAAACAUUAAAUAAGUUUAUGAUAAUAUGAUGAAAUUAUGAUUUCAUGAUGACAUUCAAUUACAUGACCCUAUAUGGGUUGUGACACAUACUUUAAGAAGCGUUGGUCUGGAUUGUUAGAAUGACUUUUUAAAAAAAAAAAGCAAAAAACCUUUUAUAAUGCCUAAAUACCUGACACAAACUCAAAAGAAAAUAACAGCAAAGAUGCAAACAAAAAAAUAAUUUGCCCAUAGAGAAAAUAGAAUUCCUAGAAAAGUUGAGUUUUUAAAGAGUUUAAAUGAUAUAAUUUAAAUGGCAAUACUAGUGGAAAGAAUUAGAAAAGAAAAACUUCAAAGCACAUAAAAAAGAUAGACUAACUUCUCUUAUCCCCUGGACCUCUCAAAUCUUUACAAAACAAACUAUGUAUAAAAAGAUAAACCAGCUAGCUCCAUGAUUUAGGAUAUCAAGCCUUUCAGUGGAAUAGGUUAGAUUCACAGGACAAAAUAGUCAAUGACUAUAGUACUAGUGUUUGGCAAACCCAAAGACCCCAGCUUUUGGGAAUAAGAAUUCACUAUUUGACAAAAACUAGGAAAAUUGGAAACUAAUAUGGCAGAAACUAGGUAUUGACCCACACUUAAAACUGAAUACCAAGAUAAGGUCAAAAUGGUUCGUGAUCUACAUAUAAAGAAUGAUAUUAUAAACAAAUUAGAAGAAAUAGAAUAGUUUACCUCUCAGAUCUGUGGAGGAAGAAGGAAUUUGUGACCAAAGAAGUAGAGACCGUUAUUGAUCACAAGAUAAUUUUGAUUGUACAAACAAAACUAAUGCAGACAAGAUUAGAAGGGAAGCAAUAAACUGAGAAAACAUUUUUACAUUCAAGGGUUCUGAUAAAGGCCUCAUUUCUAAAAUAGAGAAUUGACUCAAAUUUAUAAAAAUUCAAGCCAUUCUCCAGUUGGUAAAUGAUCAAAUGAUAUAGACAGGUUUCAGACAAAGAAAUUGAAACUAUCUCUAGUCAUAGGAAAAGAUGCUCUAAAUCAUUAUUGAUCAGAGAAAUGCAAAUUAAGAACUCUGAGAUACCACUAUACACCCCUUAGAUUGCCUGAGAUGAUAGGAAAAGAUGAUGAAUGUUGGAGAAAAUGUGGGAACACUGGGACAUUAAUACACUGUUGGUGGAACUGAAUGGAUCCAACCAUUCUGUAGAGCAGUUUGGAACUAUGCCCCAAGAGUUAUCAAACUCUGCAUACCCUUUGACCCAGCAGUGUUUCUACUGGGCUUAUAACCCAAAGAGAUCUUAAAGGAAGAAAAGAACUCACAUGUGCAAAAAUGUUCAUGGCAGUCCUUUUGUAGUGGCAAGAAACUGGAAACUGAAUGAAUGCCCAUCAGUUGGAGAAUGGUUGGAUAAGUUAUGGUAUAUAAAUGUUAUGGAAUAUUAUUGUUCUAUAAGAAAUCGUCAGCAGAAUGAUUUCAGAAAGGCCUGGAGAGAUUUGCAGGAACUGAUAUUAAAGGAAAUGAGUAGAACUAGGAGAUCAUUGUACACAGUAAUAGCAAUAUUAUACGAUGAUUAAUUCUGAUGUACAUGGUUCUCUUCAACAAUGAGAUGAUUCAGACCAAUUCAAUGGUCUUAUGAUCAAAAGAACCAUCUAUACCCAGAGAGAGAACUGUGGGACUUGAGUGUGGUUCACAACAUAAUCUCUUUGUUUGCAUUUUAUUUUCAUUUUUUUUUCUGGUCUGAUUUGAUUUUUCUUGUACAGCAAUAUAAUUGUAUAAAUAUGUAUGCAUACAUUGGAUUUAACAUUUCUACCAUGUUUAACAUAUAUUAGACUACUUGCCAUCUAGGGGAGAGGGAAAGGAAAAACUGGAACACAAGGUUUUGCAAGGACUAAUGUUGCAGAAUUAUCUAUGCAUAUGCUUUGAAAAAUAAAAAAACUUAAAUAGAAAAAUUAUCUGUGCAUAAGUUUUGAAAAUUAAAAGCUUAAUAAUAGACUUUGAUAUUCCAUCUGAUUGGCAACAAAGCCUAAUCCACAGUUCUCCCUUCCUUUAGAACCCUGAAGAACCUAGCUGACUAGUCCUCUAGACUUAAAUUCACUGAGAUCACAUGUAGCUAAUGCAAUGACUGGCAUGCUGCAGAAGAUCUCUGCAGGAAAAGCAAAUGGAAAGGGGUAGGGUACAUAUCUGGGCUGGAAAUAGAAUUCAACAUUAUCUCACCACCUUUUCUCCCAGAAUCUCAGAGAUUCAAACUACAAAAAUCAAUGCUAUGGCACAAGCAUGGCAGCUCUCUGCUGGUCCCAGGCCAGAAAAAUAAUAGUUGUGGGCUAUUGGGACAGAAUGUGUGUCCAUGCGUCGGUGCAUGUUUGUACGUGUGUAUUGUGUGUGGUCAUACAUGUGCAUUUGUACAUGUGUGUAUGUCUGCAUGUGUGUGCUUUGUGUGUAGUGCAUUGUGUGAGUGUGAGCAUGUUUUGCAUGUGCAUGCAUCUGUACAUUUGCAUGUGUGUUUACAUGUGUGUCUGCAUUGUACAUGUGUUGGAGUUUGAGAGAAGGGUUUCUCUGUGGCAUUCCAGUUCUUUCCCCCCAUAACAUAUCGUGUUUCCCUGAUAAGACCUAUCCUGAAAAUAAGCCCUCCCCUUACUGUGUAAGAUUCCUCUAAAAUAAGCCCUCCCCCGAAAAAAAGCCCUAUUGAGAUUGCUACUGUAGUGAAGAUGAUCCCCUGCGCUACACGCUACAUUACGGUACCCUCUGUAUGCACCGUCCCCUUCCUCCCCCCACCUCCCCGGGGUGAAACGCAUGCCGCGCUCUGAGCUGCAUCCAAUCAGAGCUGCAGCAGUGAGCGUGUCAUCCUGUUCUUCCCCAGUGAUUUGCUUGCUGGCGCCAUUGAGAGCAGUGCCGCGGAGGAGAGCUGAGGCAGGACAACAUAAAAGCCCGAGAGAAGAAUAAAUCAAGUAAUGAUUCCUGCAGGAGUGACUGCUUAUCUCCAGACCCUUGAUAUUGCAAUAAACAAGCCAUUCAAGGACCAUUUGCGCAUGGAAGUCAAUGACUACAUUGAAAAUAGAAUGGAAAGAAAUCAGCGUGGAAACUUUGUGAAGCCCUGUCUGCAAGAAGUCGUGACUUGGGUGAAGAAGUCAUGGGAUCAAAUUACUAACAGCUGUGUCGCCAAGGCACUACGAGCAGGUUACCUGGACAAGACAUGUUCAUUUAAAGAGAGCUAUAUUGCUGGACAUGACAGAUUGGGUCCACUUCUUCUGAAGGAAAUAGAGGCGCAAGAUAUCCAGGCUAGAAUUCAGGGUAUGGACACUUAUGACAAUGUUGUUGAAGAAGAUGACAUGAUCAUUAUUGAAUAAAGGUACUUUUUUUUGUUCACAUUUGCCUGUUUAUUAAAAUUGCUGUCAAUGUUCAUUAAAAUAAGCCCUCCCCUGAAAAUAA